AAGCCUUCAAAGAAAUUACUGAGAUGCAGGGUUGUUUGAAGGGUAUCAUCAUAUGUUUGUUUUGGAAGUAGAAGUUGAAGGCCACCAGAAAUCAGUUUUCCUGUGGGUUGCUAUGACAUGCAAGGCUUCAGAGGUUACAAAGGAUGUUACUGCUCAAAGGUCUUGGGGAUUUCUUGGAUUCUCUGACCUAGAUGAGAGGCAGUUGAUAUCUUCCUUCUGUAUCUGGAAUAAACUGCAGUUCAUGACUGAUAUUACUCCGAGAUUUAAGAAAGGUCAUUCUUCUAACCAAAGGCCAUCAUGUGUGACAGGGUCUUUCUAGUGCUGGUAACGGAACAAAGAUGUUCUGCCCACCUUAGUUCGGUUCCGAUGUUGCAGGAUCUCUCUGUACUGGGGGACGCUUGCUCGCUCUCCCGCCCUGGUGCUCUCGCACCUUCGCGCCCGCACUGCUCUCGUGAGCCGGGGCGCCGCGGCCACUUCAGCACCCUGGCCAGAGCCCCGAGGCGGGGCCGCAGCUGAGCCCCUGAGCUCUGAGAGCAUCGGGCUCUGCCUCGCCAGUGGGCAUCACUGGG